rnacentral:rRNA from 1 species
CCCUUAGAUGUUCUGGGCCGCACGCGCGCUACAAUGAUGAAUUCAACGAGUUUAUAACCUUGGUUGAAAAGCCUGGGUAAUCUUUUGAACUUUCGUCGUGAUGGGGCUAGACCCUUGCAAUUAUUGGUCUCCAACGAGGAAUUCCUAGUAAACGCAAGUCAUCAGCUUGCAUUGAUUACGUCCCUGCCCUUUGUACACACCGCCCGUCGCACCUACCGAUUGAAUGGUCUGGUGAAAUCUUCGGAUUGAGACUUUGAUUUCUUCACGGAAAACGCUGUUUUAAAAAGUUGAUUAAACCUUACCAUUUAGAGGAAGGUGAAGUCGUAACA